rnacentral:rRNA from 1 species
UACGUAGGGUGCGAGCGUUGUCCGGAAUUAUUGGGCGUAAAGAGCGUGUAGGCGGUUAGGUAGGUCCGUUGUGAAAACUCGAGGCUCAACCUCGAGACGCCGAUGGAAACCAUCUAACUAGAGUCCGGAAGAGGAGAGUGGAAUUCCUGGUGUAGCGGUGAAAUGCGCAGAUAUCAGGAAGAACACCCGUGGCUAAGGCGGCUCUCUAGUACGGUACUGACGCUGAGACGCGAAAGCGUGGGGAGCGAACAGG